ensembl:lncRNA
ACACGCUGCAGCACUUCCUCUCAGGCCCCUGACGUGUCAGCGAGGUCACACGGCCCUUUAUAACUCGCUCUGCGGCCUUUGGCCCAAAUCUCAGAACCAGAAACAGGAAGUCAGGUGGAGACUUGGGUCAGGCGGAACCCCGAUUUCUGCAGCCCCAGCCAAAUGGCAAGACCUCGGGUGUCACGUGGAGAAACAUGAGCGGACAACGCGGACCUGUCAAGAACAGGACACCCUCCCCAGCAGAGACACGGCGCUUUCUCCUAACGUGAAAGAUGACAGCAGCUCACCCUCACCCUCCCCCACGGACCUGGAGUCACUGCAAGACCAGAAAGACGCUGAACUGGAUCCAACUCAGCGUGGCCACUUCUGCCUCUGACACCAGGCAAGAUGCCCACCCUCUCUGAGCCUCACACCCCCUGUCUGCAAAACGGGAAUGAAAGCAAUAGUGUGAUGGAAGUGCUCAGAAUGCAACAGACUCUCAAGAGGAGGCUGGGUCCCCCACCUCCCAGGGGGCACCGCGGUCCUCAGACACCACGGACCUGGGAUUUCCAGCACCGACAUGAUGCUAAGUGAUUCUCAAGUCCUCUCCAGUUUACAAAGAUGCACUCGAUUCGCACACAGG